UGGGGAAUAUUGGGCAAUGGGCGAAAGCCUGACCCAGCAACGCCGCGUGAGGGAAGAAGGGUUUCGGCUCGUAAACCUCUGUCCUAUGGGACGAAGGAAGUGACGGUACCAUAGGAGGAAGCCCCGGCUAACUACGUGCCAGCAGCCGCGGUAAUACGUAGGGGGCGAGCGUUGUCCGGAAUGAUUGGGCGUAAAGGGCGCGUAGGCGGCCUGAUAAGUCUGGAGUGAAAGUCCUGCUUUCAAGGUGGGAAUUGCUUUGGAUACUGUCGGGCUUGAGUGCAGGAGAGGAAAGCGGAAUUACCGGUGUAGCGGUGAAAUGCGUAGAGAUCGGUAGGAACACCAGUGGCGAAGGCGGCUUUCUGGACUGAAACUGACGCUGAGGCGCGAAAGCGUGGGGAGCAAACAGG
rnacentral:rRNA from 1 species